rnacentral:rRNA from 1 species
CUGUCCUCCUAUUUUCAGUUGGUUUUGACACGCGAGGACCAGGGUAAUGAUUAAUAGGGAUAGUUGGGGGCAUUAAUAUUUAAUUGUCAGAGGUGAAAUUCUUGGAUUUAUGAAAGAUUAACUUCUGCGAAAGCAUCUGCCAAGGAUGUUUUCAUUAAUCAAGAACGAAAGUUAGGGGAUCGAAGACGAUCAGAUACCGUCGUAGUCUUAACCAUAAACGAUGCCGACCAGCGAUUAGGAGACGUUGAAUACAAAACACCACCAUUGGUGCGGUCGUCCUUGGCAUUUGGUCGUGGCGCAAGUCACGGCCAGGUGUGAGGACGGUUUAGCCUGAUGGAUUUCGGUGAAUGACUCCCCUACCCUUGGUGUGAGAAA